rnacentral:rRNA from 1 species
GAUGAACGCUGGCGGCGUGCCUAAUACAUGCAAGUCGAGCGAACAGACGAGGAGCUUGCUCCUUUGACGUUAGCGGCGGACGGGUGAGUAACACGUGGGUAACCUACCUAUAAGACUGGGAUAACUUCGGGAAACCGGAGCUAAUACCGGAUAAUAUUUCGAACCGCAUGGUUCGAUAGUGAAAGAUGGCUUUGCUAUCACUUAUAGAUGGACCUGCGCCGUAUUAGCUAGUUGGUAAGGUAACGGCUUACCAAGGCAACGAUACGUAGCCGACCUGAGAGGGUGAUCGGCCACACUGGAACUGAGACACGGUCCAGACUCCUACGGGAGGCAGCAGUAGGGAAUCUUCCGCAAUGGGCGAAAGCCUGACGGAGCAACGCCGCGUGAGUGAUGAAGGUCUUCGGAUCGUAAAACUCUGUUAUUAGGGAAGAACAAACGUGUAAGUAACUGUGCACGUCUUGAUGGUACCUAAUCAGAAAGCCACGGCUAACUACGUG